rnacentral:rRNA from 1 species
UACAGAGGUCUCAAGCGUUGUUCGGAUUCAUUGGGCGUAAAGGGCGCGUAGGCGGCGGGGUAAGUCUGGUGUGAAAUCUAGGAGCUCAACUCCUAAACUGCACUGGAUACUGCUCUGCUAGAGGACUGGAGAGGAGACUGGAAUUCCUGGUGUAGCGGUGAAAUGCGCAGAUAUCAGGAGGAACACCGGUGGCGAAGGCGGGUCUCUGGGCAGUUACUGACGCUGAGGAGCGAAAGCAUGGGGAGCGAACAGG